GACGAACGCUGGCGGCGUGGAUUAGGCAUGCAAGUCGAACGGUAUCAUCCUUUCGGGGAUGAGAGAGUGGCGAACGGGUGAGUAACACGUAGGUGAUCUACCCUCAAGACGGGGACAACCCAGGGAAACUUGGGCUAAUACCGGAUGUGAGCUAUCGCGAGAUAGUUUGAAAGGUGGCUUCGGCUGCCGCUUGGGGAUGAGCCUGCGUCCUAUUAGCUAGUUGGUGAGGUAACGGCUCACCGAGGCAGUGAUAGGUAGGCGGCCUUAACGGGUGGUCGCCCACACUGGGAUUGAGAUACGGCCCAGACUCCUACGGGAGGCAGCAGUCGAGAAUAGUCUACAAUGGUCGAAAGACUGAUAGUGCGACGCCGCGUGAACGAAGAAGCCCUUCGGGGUGUAAAGUUCUUUUAUAUGUGAGCAGUGACAUCUAUAUUAAUAGUAUGGGGAGAGAGAUAUUAGCAUAUGAAUAAGCAACGGCUAAACUCCGUGCCAGCA
rnacentral:rRNA from 1 species